rnacentral:rRNA from 1 species
CAGUCGCCGCGGGAAUACGUAGGUGGCAAGCGUUGUCCGGAAUUAUUGGGCGUAAAGCGCGGGCAGGUGGUUUAAUAAGUCUGAUGUGAAAGCCCACGGCUCAACCGUGGAGGGCCAUUGGAAACUGUUAAACUUGAGUGCAGGAGAGAAAAGUGGAAUUCCUAGUGUAGCGGUGAAAUGCGUAGAGAUUAGGAGGAACACCAGUGGCGAAGGCGGCUUUUUGGCCUGUAACUGACACUGAGGCGCGAAAGCGUGGGGAGCAAACAGGAUUAGAUACCCGAGUAGUCCCUGUCUCUUAUAU